UACGUAGGGGGCAAGCGUUGUCCGGAUUUAUUGGGCGUAAAGAGCGUGUAGGCGGCCAGACAGGUCCGUUGUGAAAACUCGAGGCUCAACCUCGAGAUGUCGAUGGAAACCGUCUGGCUAGAGUCCGGAAGAGGAGUGUGGAAUUCCUGGUGUAGCGGUGAAAUGCGUAGAUAUUGGGAGGAACACCGGUGGCGAAGGCGGUGGUCUGGGCCGGAACUGACGCUGUAGAGCGAAAGCGUGGGGAGCGAACAGG
rnacentral:rRNA from 1 species